UACAGAGGUCUCAAGCGUUGUUCGGAUUCAUUGGGCGUAAAGGUGCGUAGGCGGCGGCGUAAGUCGGGUGUGAAAUCCCAGGGCUCAACCCUGGAACUGCAUUCGAUACUGCGUCGCUGGAGGACUGGAGAGGAGACUGGAAUUCACGGUGUAGCAGUGAAAUGCGUAGAUAUCGUGAGGAAGGCCAGUGGCGAAGGCGAGUCUCUGGACAGUUCCUGACGCUGAGGCACGAAGGCCAGGGGGAGCAAACGGG
rnacentral:rRNA from 1 species